UAACACGUAGGGGGCAAGCGUUGUCCGGAUUUAUUGGGCGUAAAGAGCUCGUAGGUGGCUGAGUAAGUCGGAUGUUAAAUCCCCAGGCUCAACCUGGGACACCACCCGAUACUGCUCUGGCUAGAGUCCGGUAGGGGAGCGUGGAAUUCCUGGUGUAGCGGUGAAAUGCGCAGAUAUCAGGAGGAACACCAGCGGCGAAGGCGGCGCUCUGGGCCGGUACUGACACUGAGGAGCGAAAGCGUGGGUAGCAAACAGGAUUAGAUACCCUGGUAGUCCACGCCGUAAACGUUGGGCACUAGGUGUGGGGUCUAUUCAACGGACUCCGUGCCGUAGCUAACGCAUUAAGUGCCCCGCCUGGGGAGUACGGCCGCAAGGCUA
rnacentral:rRNA from 1 species